UACAGAGGUCUCGAGCGUUGUUCGGAUUCAUUGGGCGUAAAGGGUGCGUAGGUGGCGAUGUAAGUCUGGUGUGAAAUCUCGGGGCUCAACCUCGAAAUUGCAUUGGAUACUGCGUUGCUAGAGGAUUGUAGAGGAGAGUGGAAUUCACGGUGUAGCAGUGAAAUGCGUAGAUAUCGUGAGGAAGACCAGUUGCGAAGGCGACUCUCUGGGCAAUUCCUGACACUGAGGCACGAAGGCUAGGGGAGCAAACGGGAUUAGAAACCCCCGUAGUCC
rnacentral:rRNA from 1 species